rnacentral:rRNA from 1 species
UUUCUGAAAGUGGCGAACGGGUGAGUAACACGUAGGUAACCUGCCGCGCAGAGGGGGAUAACGACUAGAAAUGGUCGCUAACACCGCAUGGUACUAGACUGGGGGGACCCUAUCUGGUUAAAACCUUGGUGCUGCGCGAGGGGUCUGCGUCCGAUUAGUUAGUUGGUGAGGUAAUGGCUCACCAAGACGAUGAUCGGUAGCUGGUCUGAGAGGAUGAUCAGUCACACGGGAACUGAGACACGGUCCCGACUCCUACGGGGGGCAGCAGUGAGGAAUAUUGCACAAUGGACGCAAGUCUGAUGCAGCAACGCCGCGUGGAGGAUGAAGGCCCUUGGGUCGUAAACUCCUUUUUUCGGGGAAGAGAGAGGACGG